UUUCCUUCAUUUUGUCAUUUUGGAGGAAGAAGAAAAUUAAUAAAAAAAACGAAAAUUAAAAAAUUAACAAAACAAAAAAUAAAGUAAAGAAAGCUAGAUCUUAGGUGUGUUUGGUCUGAGUUUUGAAGGAAGCUUAACAGAAUGGAGAAAAAAGAGAAAUAAAAUUUAAAAAGGUACUAUAGCUGUCGUAUGUGGACUCAUUUUCCUGUAAUGUUAAUGGAGAACAUCAUGCAAAAUCUUAGAUGACUGGCACUGACUAAGGAGUGAAAAAUGUCUUCUCAACUUUAUUUGUUAAUGCUGCUCUGAUACUUUUUUACACAUAAAUAUGAAAAAGAAACCCUGUAAUGUGUUGGGAAAAAAUUCGUAUUGGUGACUCAUUGUUGAAUGAAUAUACAGAUUAGUGCUUGGUAUGGAUUUUGAGUUUUAUGUUUAUAUAAAUUUCUUUCUGUAAUAUUUGAAACUAUCUACAUGUCUUGAUAAUCCCACUACCCAAUGAGAAACUACAGUCAAUUCAAAUUAUUUAAAUGGAACCAACACACUGAAUUUUUCCAAAUAUUUGAUUAUUAAUGCAACAAUUAGCAUUUUCUAUUUCUACUAAGAUUUAAUAUGCCAAGCAAACUAAGCAAGAGAUUGUUCCUUGAAGUAUUCACAACAAGAGAGAUUUCUGCGUCAGGGACCUUUAUCUUACAAUGUCGGUUUACUCAUUAAUAUGGUAUGGUUCACCAGCCAGGGUUCUCCAGAGAAGCAGAACCAAUAGGUUGUGUGUGUGUGUGUGUGUGUGUGUGUGUGUGUGUGUAUUUUUACCCCAGAAAUUGGCUCACAUGAUUGUGGGGACUGUUAGGUCCCAGUUCUGUAGGGCAGGCUGGCAGGCUGGAGACUCAGAGAAGAGUUGGUAUAACUCUAGUUCAAAGGUAUUCUGCUACUGGCAGUGGCAGAAUACCUCCUUCCUUAGGAGACUUCAAUUUUUUUUCUUUUCAGGUCUCCAAUUAAUUAGAUGAGACUCAUCUACAGUAUGGAGGGUAAUCUGCUUUACUCAAAGUCUAUGGAUUUAAAUGUUAAUCACAUCUUAAAAAAAACACAACUUUUAUAGCAACAUCCAAACUGGUGUUUGACCAAACAUCUGGCCACCACAGCUUAGCCGCAUCAACACAUAAAAUUAACUACAAAUGGUCAUGUUUUUAACAAAUUGUGAAUUAUUCCCAAAUUCACUACAAAAUUUAAAGGCAGUACUCAUGGGGCACGUGGGUGGCUUAGUUAGUCAAAAUUUGACUUGAUUUCAGCUCAGGUCAUGAUCUCCCGGUUGGUGAGAUUGAGCCCUGCAUCAGGCUCUGCAGGGAGCAUGGAAGCUGCUUGGGAUUCUCUCUCUCCCUUUCUCUCCCCUCUCCCCUGCUUCUAUGCUUGGUCUCUCUAACAAAUAACAAAAAAAUAAAGAUUUAACUCAUAAUAAUUAAAGCAGGAAUAACUUUCCAUAAUGAGUGCAAGACAGUUUCAUAAGAUCUUAUAUACAAAGAGAAACCAAAUUGAGGUCAUUUUACUCGGUCCUACCUUUCACUUCAGGCAUAGUGUUGACUAAUGUGGAGAUGGAGUUUGAAUUUAAGGGGACAAAUGACUAGAAAACAGACUGUGUUGUCUCUAGGCUAAAUUAAGACAAAAGUUACUGUCACUUCUCUGCAGAAGUAAGAGAAGCAUCACACAAGAAUAUCUUGCCUUCCAUAUUAAGUUGUUAUGGACAGUAAUCAUAUACCACUUUUCUUCUGCACCUCAUAGAUCUUAGCAUAUUGUUGGAUAGUUGAAUUGGAAAAAAUGAAUCUUUGAAAAAGUUAACCCACAGAUUCAGUAAACAAAGGGAUCAAAUAAAGCCACAAGGGCAUCAAGGGUGCAAAUGUAUUGAAAUGUAGUGAACUGAGUGAUUGUAGGGCUGGUGAGGGAAUAAGAGAUGUUUGGGAAAGAUGCUGCUGUUGAAAAAGAAAGCAGUGAACUAGAUACUUGAGUCAUAGAGUACUACAUUUUGACAAUGUGAUGCUCUUAAAAUGUGAAUGUCCUGAGGUAGAGGUAAAUGUUUGCUAUAAAUGUGAGGAAAGGCAAGAAUAGCAUGAUGUCAAGAUGGUUUCUAAUUCAUAUAUACAUUAUAUGUUACUUAGGACGAUGGAAGUGGAUAUAAGUUGGGAAGAAAAAUGUGAGCCAAGUAUCAUGUUGUUUAGAAAGAUGGGAGAAGUUUGUGAAAGUUAGAAAGGUAAAGGUAACUGUUAGAAGCCAUUAAGCUUUUCAAGAAUGAAAAGUCCAGAGAAGGUGUUUUUUUCAUGACUCUUAAAUGGCACUGGGAAUGGAAAAUUGUGUCAGUUCAUGGCUGGUUUAGAAAAAGUAGUAUUAUGGUAUGAUAUGUGUGGACUGACCUGGAUGAAUAUAUAGGGGAAGCAACUGAGGUAAAAAGUUUGGAUCAUGAAUAGUUGGUUUGGAGAACAGCAUUGAAGAAGCUAUGGAUUGGGAAUAAGCAGAGGUCAUAUAUUGAAGACACAAUCCUCUUUCUUAGAAAUACUGAGGGAUCUAAUGCAUUAUGAACUUUGUUACACACACACACGUGCGCGUGCGCGUAUGCAUACACAUGUCCUAAUCAACAAUGCCUCAGAUUCUACAAGAAGUAGUAUGAGUAAUGUUAAAAUUCUAAAGAACAGCAGAAUGUCUUAUUGUUUAAGGACAUUGAUUUCAAACAAUCUAUAUAUACAAAAGUAUUUAAAAAUUUAAAUCUUUUCUGAAAGUAUCCCUAAGAUUGUUGUUAUAUAAUGCUAAAAUAUGUACAGCGUAUUACACAGACUUUAGAAUCAAAUUUCCUGUCCAGUGGAUUAGAAAUAUAGCCAAAGAUAUAUAAGACUUGGGAAAUAGGUUGCAUAGUAAAAGUGAAAACAAAGUGGAGCAAUUAUUAAUCUUUAACUUAAUAUAGUGGAUGGACCAAAAACACUAUCAGGUUUUUAUUUACACAUGAAUGAUGGAUGGUGAUUUACAAUGCUGAAAUAAAUCCAAGUGGUAAUUUACCUACUAGAUAUUCUGCUUCCCAUACUGUUUCAAAUAAAAAAAAAUAUUAAUACAAGUGCCAAGCACUGAGUUCAUUAAUGUUAAAUUGACACAUUUGCCUUUUAUCAUGCAACUCAACUCCAAAGGCACAUGGGGAUAGAACCUGGCCUCCAUUCAGACAAGUUUAUAAAGGAGAGCUAAGGACUCUCUAAGGCUUCUGAGUCCUUUGAUAGUCUUCUGGCAUUUACUGCUUAUGAUCUUGCCUUUCAUGCUGAAGCUUUUGUCUUCUCUGGAGGUUUGUUCUAAGGAGGAGACACAGAGAAACAUUUCCACAUAUCUGGCUCUGCCAAUUGCUCCGUAACAUUUGGGGUACCAGUAACUUCGAGAAUCCACCCAUCUCAUUAUUGCACAAAGAGCAAUCAGCUCACUUUUUCCCUUCUCAUUCUGCAGAAUGCAGCAACAUGUUCUCUGUAGGAGAAAAGCAUAAAAGCUCUCUGUCUCAUCCUGAGGGAGGAGGCUUUAUUUUCCUUCCCCUACACGAAGUUGACUAGGGCAUACUUCAGUGGCACACCUUUGACCCAUGAGUUGCCGAACUGAACUAAAUAACUCUGAGCACCUUGUGAAAGUCCUCUGGGAGAUGUCUCUUCCAGGAUGGUGUGUGUUCCUUGAAAAUGUAUAAAGGAAAAACUUUGGACUUCAAGUGAAAAGGCACGAUUUUGAAUCUAACCCUCCACCUUGCUAGCUGUGUAAAAUUAGGCAAGUCUCCUUUAUGAGUCUUCUUAUAAAAUGAGAAUAAUGAGGUUUACUCUCAAGCUGCUGUGGAGAAAUAAUGAGGUGAUAUAUGAGCAAUAGCCUGGCAAAGAUCCUGGUCCAAAAUACCCCUCCUCUAUAAAUGCUGAUUAUAUCAUGUUCUUAGUAGACAACUGAUAGAGGCCAGGCAUUGUGCUAAGUGCUUUCCGGGUAACCUACCAUGUUAUGUAAUCCUUCAGCCUUCUGGUGAGGGAGCUAUUGUGCAUCCCUAUAACUCUGAUGAGGAAAUGAAUGCUGAGAGAAUCAGAUAACUUAACAGUAAGUCUAAAUCCUGGGAUUUGAACUCAUCUGAAGAAAUACUCUAGCGUGCACUGGCUUUGGAUUUGAAGUAGAAAGUUAAAGGGUCAUAAAAAAGGAACAUAUUGGAACUCUACUGGAUUCCUGUCUUCAUAUCCAGGCUACUUAACACUUUCCUUACUUGAUGCUUGUUACCUUAUAGUCUCCCAAGAGUUACUAGAAUACAAGCUUUUUGAAGUUCUGUUUUAUUCUUUGUUCCUCUUAUUUUUAAUGUAUCAAGCACAGUACCUAAGACAUAUUAGAACUUCACUAAAAUGUUUUUGAAUGAUUAAUGAUUCAAUGUGCAGACUUGGAGUAAAGAUUUGGGAAUUGCACAGAGGGAGUAGGGCCUACAACUGCUGAAGGCUUGAAGAAUGAGGAAUGACCGUGGGUUCAGACAGGACUCUCCAAAAAUUACUAAGAACUUAAUUAGCUUGGAAACUAGCCUAAAUCUGAAGCAGAUUUUGUGGUGCUUUGAAUUUCUUUGAUAUUCCUUGUCAAACUGGCACUGAUUUAAUGAUGCUUAUGGCUCUUCAUGUUUCCAUGGAACAAGUUAGUCCCAGGCCAGUAGUGCCAUGAGUGAGCUCUAGAGAUGCACUCAGAAUUGCAGCUAUUUCAAAAUUAAAGAGAAAUAAUAGGUAAAGCAAUUUAUGGAGAAAUAUUAUACUCUGAAAAUUACAAGAAAUCAUAGCUUUUCAAAAUACUGAGAGAAAUUCUAAUGGAAUGUGGUAAUAACUUCAUCAAAGGCUUUGCCUAAGAAAAGAGGGCUUUCCUCUUGGACGUAGGUUCUGAAAAUUUUUACCUUCUUUCUCCUUAAAGCAUCUUAUGAUUUAUUCAGUAAAGGAGAAGAAACACAGAGAGAGUGAUUGAUGGCU